GAUGAACGCUAGCGGCAGGCUUAAUACAUGCAAGUCGUGGGGCAGCAUGAGUAGCAAUACUUGAUGGCGACCGGCAAACGGGUGAGGAACACGUACACAACCUUCCUUCAAGCGGGGAAUAGCCCAGAGAAAUUUGGAUUAAUACCCCAUAAUAUAUUUGAUAAGGCAUCUUAUUAAAAAUUAAAGCUUCGGCACUUGAUGAUGGGUGUGCGGCUGAUUAGAUAGUUGGCGGGGUAACGGCCCACCAAGUCUACGAUCAGUAGCUGAUGUGAGAGCAUGAUCAGCCACACGGGCACUGAGACACGGGCCCGACUCCUACGGGAGGCAGCGGUAAGGAAUAUUGGACAAUGGACGAAAGUCUGAUCCAGCCAUGCCGCGUGAAGGAUUAAGGUCCUCUGGAUUGUAAACUUCUUUAUAUGGACGAAAAAAGGGCAAUUCUUGUUCACUUGACGGUACCAUAUGAAUAAGCACCGGCUAACUCCGUGCCAGCAGCCG
rnacentral:rRNA from 1 species